rnacentral:rRNA from 1 species
GAUGAACGCUGGCGGCGUGCCUAAUACAUGCAAGUCGAGCGAACAGACGAGGAGCUUGCUCCUCUGACGUUAGCGGCGGACGGGUGAGUAACACGUGGAUAACCUACCUAUAAGACUGGGAUAACUUCGGGAAACCGGAGCUAAUACCGGAUAAUAUAUUGAACCGCAUGGUUCAAUAGUGAAAGACGGUUUUGCUGUCACUUAUAGAUGGAUCCGCGCCGCAUUAGCUAGUUGGUAAGGUAACGGCUUACCAAGGCAACGAUGCGUAGCCGACCUGAGAGGGUGAUCGGCCACACUGGAACUGAGACACGGUCCACACUCCUACGGGAGGCAGCAGUAGGGAAUCUUCCGCAAUGGGCGACAGCCUGACGGAGCAACGCCGCGUGAGUGAUGAAGGUCUUCGGAUCGUAAACCUCUGUUAUUAGGGAAGAACAAAUGUGUAAGUAACUCUGCACGUCUUGACGGUACCUAAUCAGAAAGCCACGGCUAACUACGUG